UUCGCAAUGCCCGAAAGGGUGACGAAGCGACGCCGCGUGCGGGAAGAAGGCCUUCGGGUUGUAAACCACUGUCGGGAGUUAAGAAAUGCAAGGAUAUUAAUAGCGUCUUUGUUUGACUAAGGCUCCGGAGGAAGCCACGGCUAACUCUGUGCCAGCAGCCGCGGUAAUACAGAGGCGGCAAGCGUUGUUCGGAAUUAUUGGGCGUAAAGAGCACGUAGGCGGCUAUGUAAGUCGGUUGUGAAAGCCUUCCGCUCAACGGAAGAACAGCAGUUGAAACUACAGGGCUUGAGUGCGGGAGGGGAGAGUGGAACUUCUGGUGGAGCGGUGAAAUGCGUAGAUAUCAGAAGGAACGCCGGCGGCGAAAGCGGCUCUCUGGUCCGCAACUGGCGCUGAGUGUGCGAAAGCUAGGGGGGCAAACGGGAUUAGAUACCCCGGUAGUCCUAGCCGUAAACGAUGGGCACUAAGUAGAGGGGUUUU
rnacentral:rRNA from 1 species